AUUCUUCACCUCCUAUCAGCUAACAGAACGAGUUCAUGGAUUGGUCAGCUGCUUUUUCCUUCCUUCCUCUCACCCUUUCCACAGCAGCUUUUCUCAAGGUUCACUGACCAAGGAAAAGGUCCACCCACAUCUUUCUCUUUGCCCAAUGAACUUAAAUUGAUUUCUGGUGACUGCACAUAACUUCACCUGAAGCUGUGAGGAAUGAGACCUAAGCUUGGGCUGCAUGUAUGAAACUGAGUAUCAAUGAAGCUGUUGGGAUUUUCCACUGUGAUUGAAAUAAUCUCUCCUGAUGUUCCACCAGUAGUCUAAUUUAAUUGCUUUGAUUUAAAUACUGGUUUAGUGGGAAACGCAGACAAAUAUAAUAACGAAAAUGAGGUGCAUACUGUACUCGUUUUAUGUGUCGUGUGAUGUCUGCACUCAACUGUAGCUUUCUAGUAAUAAAGAGCAAUCUCUGAGUCACAGGGCAGGGACAACUGGUCACCAAGCAAGUUUAGGUGUAAAUGUAGGCCUUGAAUUCUUUCUGAAGAAGUUUAACAUUUUUGUGUAAGCUACAUUAGUACUCACUUUAGAUUGCACGUUAAUAACAGCAUGUUGUAAUUUCAUUUUCAAUAUUUUUGGGUUCUCCUGUGUUAACAGAAGAAAACUUGUAUUUACAUAAGUUUAUGUAGUCUUUCAAAGAACGUGUAUUAAUUGUGUGCCAAGAAGGUAAAUGUCAUAGCUGAAAAUGAAUUUGUAAAGUUUUCAGUGUAGAUGAAAAUUGGUAUUGUAUAUAACCAUUGCUUAGGAGGUCUCUUCUUUGUCUCUGGUAUAAAAUUUAGGGGUAUAAUAUCAACAUGUCUGAUGGAAUAUCUGUAGUGAAGUCAUGCUACAAGCUAUGUAAGGCAGUAAGAGACAAGUGUCAAUUUAAAAUAGAAUAGUGAGUAAUCACUUAGCUUAUCCUUUCCAAGAUUUUAUGGAUAUGUAAUGAAGAUUCAUCUUUUUGAAACAACUAUUUGUCUUCAGGAAAACGUGUCUUUUAUGUGCUUAAAGAGAGAUUUACUCUGUAAUGCAUGAAAGCUAGAUGCACAAAUGAAAUAUCUGUUUAUAAAUUCUUCUGGUCAUUGCAGAGAUUCUACCUAAUUCUUUUAAAAGGAAUAAAUAUGACAUAGGUUUUACACAGAUGAUGGUUAUCGAAAGGACACAUAACGUAGGCUCCAACUGCGUUUGUAAUAGUUCAGAUCUGUACAUGAAAUAUGUUCUCUACUUAAGAAAAGAAUGAGAAUAUGAAACAUGUUUUGUCUCAGUGAUUGCUCGGAUUUUCAUUCUGUUGAUCAGAGUGGAAGAAAGUCUUUUCAUCCACUAGCUGUUUUUCUGUUGUUUUCUUUUUCUUUCUUUCAAAUUCCCAGCCUCAGUACUUCGCAUACUAUGUGGGGAGGCUGUAUACAAUUAUAUCUUGCUAGUGAAAUAAAAUAUUAUAAUCCCAUUGCAUUGUCAGUGAGGU
ensembl:lncRNA